GUGCCAGCAGCCGCGGUAAUACGGAGGACCCGAGCGUUAUCCGGAUUCAUUGGGUUUAAAGGGUGCGUAGGCGGCCCGGUCAGUCAGCGGUGAAAGGCUCCUGCUCCACAGGAGAGCUGCCGUUGAUACUGCUGGGCUAGAAUCUUAGCGAGGCGGGCGGAAUGCGCGGUGUAGCGGUGAAAUGCAUAGAUAUCGCGCAGAACGCCGAUUGGGGAGCCAGCUCGCCAGCUGAGUAUUGACGCUGAGGCACGAAAGCGUGGGGAUCAAACAGGAUUAGAUACCCCAGUAGUCC
rnacentral:rRNA from 1 species